GGACUAUAAGAUAAAACUGCAACCAAAUGCUUAAAAACUGAUAAUGUGGAGCCUCUUGUGCUCUAGGAGCUACUCAAGCUUCUUUCUGCUCUGUGGUAAUCAGCUUCUAAUAAGAACUAUUUAGUUUUGUUUGUAAAACACCUGCUUGCUAAAUCUGCCAUUUUCCUGUGGUAAACUUGUCUCUCAGAAAAUGUGACAUCGUUACAGGCAAACCCCAGCGUUUCCCCUUUGGAGGAGGUCGAGCUGUCUCCCCUCCACUUGAGUUGCUAAGAUAGAAGGUAUGAAGGAGCUAUCAAGGUAGCUGAAACUCAGCUACACCACUCUAGAGUAAAACAGAAUUCCAGGGAAUCCGACUCUAGGAGGCCAAGAGACAAUGCACUCAAAGCCCUGCUCUCACCACACCAGAAGCUGGUGAGUCUACGCACGGCUGAAGGAGAACUACAAUCUAGAUAUAUAGACUCUUAUAUUGUGUCAUACUUUUAUGAGUUAUUAUACUUCUAAAUGAAGAGUUUAUGAGCCUACAGAUGAUAAAAAUAUGAAAACUUUUUGUGCUCUGGUAAUCCUAAUCCCCAAUUUAGCUGUCUAAGAGAUGCCUUUACAAAUUGCUGUGACCCCUUAGCUAAAAAUUUAAACAAUGAAUCAAGGAUUUGAUUCUACCUAAGAUCAGUGGGGAUUGUAAGACUUGAAUAGGCUAAAGUGACUCCAUGCUAAUAGGCCAGACUGUGCUUCUUCAUAUGCUAAUUGCUACCUUGGUUAACAGCCCGCCCAGGGGCAAAUGGUUUGACAAAAGGUGACCCUAGAACAUUUCCUGCAUAAGAUAAGCAAUGUGUUUGCAGUCUUGUUCUGUGAAUUCCCUGACUCUUUGUUUAGAAAAACCUUAUAAAUUUACCAUCUAGGCUGGUGUGUUCCUUCCUGGGUUUCUCGGUUCUCUGUCGUGUUCCCGGAGCCUCGCUGGGUGUUAGGGCCCAGCAUCGUGGAGGCCUUUUGGCUGUUCACGCUCCGUGGAGUGGAAGUGAGACUUUAGGUCUUACACAAUAGAUAUCGUUUGCUUCGCGGAAGCUUAUUUUGGGGGAAGGGGAUCCAACAAGAGCAGAACUAGACUCUCCUUGAGCAAGUGAUGUGAGAAGUGAGACCUGACAUGAAUGGAAGUUAACCUGUAAAAGAGGAAAGGAAGAGUGCACUGUGGCCUAAAUGUGUCUUGUACUUGCCCUCCCUGGGCCUUUAAUCGCUGUAUUCUUAUCUCACUGGAAUACUUUUC
rnacentral:lncRNA from 1 species